GCCAUGCUCUCAUUGUCCCACAGAUGGUCUGCGUAGCACUGCGAUUCUUUGCAAGUGGCAUGUUUCUGUAUUCUGUCGGUGAUGCAGAAAACCUCAAUAAAGCCACUAUUUGCCGCACAAUAAGAAAUGUAAGUCUGGCAUUGAAAUCUCUUAAGAUUCAUCCACAUCAAGGAGGAGUUCUACAAGAUUGCAGGUUACACGAAUAAUAACAGAUUACUACAAAAUGUUACAUUAGCAUAGUCACAGUAUGACACUCAUUAUUUUGUGUUACAGCUUUUCCUAAUGUAAUUGGUACAGUGGAUUGCACCCAUUUUCGUAUCCAACGCCCCUCAGGGGCACAUGAGGGAGAUUAUGUUAACAGGAAAUCCUUCCACAGUGUCAAUGUUCAGAUGAUCUGUGAUGCUGACUGCCUUAUCACAAAUUUAGAGGCAAAGUGGCCUGGCUCAGUCCAUGACUCCAGAAUCUUUCGGGCAAGUAGAAUU